GCGGCGUGGAUAAGACAUGCAAGUCGAACGAUCAUCGCGGGGUAGCAAUAUUCCGCGGUGGGAGUGGCGCACGGCUGAGGAACACGUGGGUGAUCUGCCCCGGAGUGGGGGAUAACCUAGCGAAAGCUGGGCUAAUCCCGCAUACGCUCGCAAGAGGAAAGCGGUGACGCGCUCCGGGAUGAGCCUGCGGCCCAUCAGGUAGUUGGUAGGGUAAUGGCCUACCAAGCCGGUGACGGGUCCCUGGUCUGAGAGGACGACCAGGCAGACUGGGACUGAGACACGGCCCAGACUCCUACGGGAGGCAGCAGCAAGGAAUUUUCCCCAAUGGGCUCACGCCUGAGGGAGCAACGCCGCGUGGGGGAUGACGGCCUUCGGGUUGUAAACUCCUUUUGGGUGGGAUGAUAGUGACAGUACCACCCGAAUAAGCCCCGGCUAACUCCGUGCCAGCCGCCGCCGUAAUAC
rnacentral:rRNA from 1 species